rnacentral:sRNA from 1 species
AGGUCACGGGGCGGGGCCGAGGCGGAAGCGCCCGCAGCCCGCUACCGGCUCCUCCUGGGCUCCCUCUAGCGCCUUCCCCCCGGCCCGACUCCGCUGGUCAGCGCCAAGUGACUUACGCCCCCGACCCUGAGCCCGGACCGCUAGGCGAGGAGGAUCAGAUCUCCGCUCGAGAAUCUGAAGGUGCCCUGGUCCUGGAGGAGUUCCGUCCCAGCCCACGGUCUCCCGGUACUGUCGGGCCCCGGUCCUCUGGAGCUUCAGGAGGCGGCCGUCAGGGUCGGGGAGUAUUUGGGUCUGGGGUCUCAGGGAAGGGCGGCGCCUGGGUCUGUGGUAUCGGAAGGAGCCUGCUGGAGCCAAGUAGCCCUCCCUCUCUUGGGACAGACCCCUCGGUCCCAUGUCCAUGGGGGCACCGCGGUCCCUCCUCCUGGCCCUGGCUGCUGGCCUGGCCGUUGCCCGUCCGCCCAACAUCGUGCUGAUCUUUGCUGACGACCUCGGCUAUGGGGACCUGGGCUGCUAUGGGCACCCCAGCUCUACCACUCCCAACCUGGACCAGCUGGCGGCAGGAGGGCUGCGGUUCACAGACUUCUACGUGCCUGUGUCUCUGUGCACACCCUCUAGGGCCGCCCUCCUGACCGGCCGGCUCCCGGUUCGGAUGGGCAUGUACCCUGGCGUCCUGGUGCCCAGCUCCCGGGGGGGCCUGCCCCUGGAGGAGGUGACCGUGGCCGAAGUCCUGGCUGCCCGAGGCUACCUCACAGGAAUGGCCGGCAAGUGGCACCUUGGGGUGGGGCCUGAGGGGGCCUUCCUGCCCCCCCAUCAGGGCUUCCAUCGAUUUCUAGGCAUCCCAUACUCCCACGACCAGGUAGGAACCACCCGGGCCCUCAGCCACCCUCCCACCUCCCAAAGUCCCCCAGCCCUUGAUGCUCCCGCAGCCCCACCUGCCAGCCCAGCCCUCACGGCAGCUGCCCGCCUCAGGGCCCCUGCCAGAACCUGACCUGCUUCCCGCCGGCCACUCCCUGCGACGGUGGCUGUGACCAGGGCCUGGUCCCCAUCCCACUGUUGGCCAACCUGUCCGUGGAGGCGCAGCCCCCCUGGCUGCCCGGACUAGAGGCCCGCUACAUGGCUUUUGCCCAUGACCUCAUGGCCGACGCCCAGCGCCAGGAUCGCCCCUUCUUCCUGUACUAUGCCUCUCACGUAAGUGAUCUUGGCCCAACCCCCUGGCUGCCCAUGACCCCUACCCAGUGCUAACUCCAGUCUCUGCCCCCAGCACACCCACUACCCUCAGUUCAGUGGGCAGAGCUUUGCAGAGCGUUCAGGCCGCGGGCCAUUUGGGGACUCCCUGAUGGAGCUGGAUGCAGCUGUGGGGACCCUGAUGACAGCCAUAGGGGACCUGGGGCUGCUUGAAGAGACGCUGGUCAUCUUCACUGCAGACAAUGG